rnacentral:rRNA from 1 species
UACGGGGGGGGCAAGCGUUGUUCGGAAUUACUGGGCGUAAAGGGCUCGUAGGUGGCCAACUAAGUCAGACGUGAAAUCCCUCGGCUUAACCGGGGAACUGCGUCUGAUACUGGAUGGCUUGAGUUCGGGAGAGGGAUGCGGAAUUCCAGGUGUAGCGGUGAAAUGCGCAGAUAUCGGGAGGAACACCAGCGGCGAAGGCGGCACUCUGGGCUGGAACUGACGCUGAGGAGCGAAAGCGUGGGUAGCAAACAGG